UGAAUAUGUAACUCAGUGGUAGAGUGCUUGCCGAGAAUGCUAGAGGUCCUGGAUUCCAUUCCCAACACUACAA
rnacentral:tRNA from 1 species